rnacentral:rRNA from 1 species
ACGGAAGGCAGCAGUGGGGAAUAUUGGACAAUGGGGGAAACCCUGAUCCAGCGACGCCGCGUGAGUGAAGAAGUAUUUCGGUAUGUAAAGCUCUAUCAGCAAGGAAGAAAAUGGCGGUACUUGACUAAGAAGCUCCGGCUAAAUACGUGCCAGCAGCCGCGGUAAUACGUAUGGAGCAAGCGUUAUCCGGAUUUACUGGGUGUAAAGGGAGCGUAGACGGCAAAGCAAGUCUGAAGUGAAAUCCCGGGGCUCAACCCCGGAACUGCUUUGGAAACUGUUUAGCUAGAGUGCAGGAGAGGUAAGCGGAAUUCCUAGUGUAGCGGUGAAAUGCGUAGAUAUUAGGAGGAACACCAGUGGCGAAGGCGGCCUGCUGGACUGUUACUGACGCUGAGGCACGAAAGCGUGGGUAUCAAACAGGAUUAGAUACCCUGGUA